AGAGUUUGAUCCUGGCUCAGAUUGAACGCUAGCGGCACGCUUAACACAUGCAAGUCGAACGGCAACACGAGGAGCUUGCUCCUUGGUGGCGAGUGGCGGACGGGUGAGUAACACGUGGGAAUCUGCCUUAUAGUGGGGGACAACCCGGGGAAACUCGGGCUAAUACCGCAUAAUCUCUACGGAGCAAAGCGGGGGACCUU
rnacentral:rRNA from 1 species